rnacentral:rRNA from 1 species
AGAGUUUGAUCAUGGCUCAGAUUGAACGCUGGCGGCAGGCCUAACACAUGCAAGUCGAACGGUAACAGGAAACAGCUUGCUGUUUCGCUGACGAGUGGCGGACGGGUGAGUAAUGUCUGGGAAACUGCCUGAUGGAGGGGGAUAACUACUGGAAACGGUAGCUAAUACCGCAUAACGUCGCAAGACCAAAGAGGGGGACCUUCGGGCCUCUUGCCAUCAGAUGUGCCCAGAUGGGAUUAGCUAGUAGGUGGGGUAACGGCUCACCUAGGCGACGAUCCCUAGCUGGUCUGAGAGGAUGACCAGCCACACUGGAACUGAGACACGGUCCAGACUCCUACGGGAGGCAGCAGUGGGGAAUAUUGCACAAUGGGCGCAAGCCUGAUGCAGCCAUGCCGCGUGUAUGAAGAAGGCCUUCGGGUUGUAAAGUACUUUCAGCGGGGAGGAAGGGAGUAAAGUUAAUACCUUUGCUCAUUGACGUUACCCGCAGAAGAAGCACCGGCUAACUCCGUGCCAGCAGCCGCGGUAAUACGGAGGGUGCAAGCGUUAAUCGGAAUUACUGGGCGUAAAGCGCACGCAGGCGGUUUGUUAAGUCAGAUGUGAAAUCCCCGGGCUCAACCUGGGAACUGCAUCUGAUACUGGCAAGCUUGAGUCUCGUAGAGGGGGGUAGAAUUCCAGGUGUAGCGGUGAAAUGCGUAGAGAUCUGGAGGAAUACCGGUGGCGAAGGCGGCCCCCUGGACGAAGACUGACGCUCAGGUGCGAAAGCGUGGGGAGCAAACAGGAUUAGAUACCCUGGUAGUCCACGCCGUAAACGAUGUCGACUUGGAGGUUGUGCCCUUGAGGCGUGGCUUCCGGAGCUAACGCGUUAAGUCGACCGCCUGGGGAGUACGGCCGCAAGGUUAAAACUCAAAUGGAUUGACGGGGGCCCGCACAAGCGGUGGAGCAUGUGGUUUAAUUCGAUGCAACGCGAAGAACCUUACCUGGUCUUGACAUCCACGGAAGUUUUCAGAGAUGAGAAUGUGCCUUCGGGAACCGUGAGACAGGUGCUGCAUGGCUGUCGUCAGCUCGUGUUGUGAAAUGUUGGGUUAAGUCCCGCAACGAGCGCAACCCUUAUCCUUUGUUGCCAGCGGUCCGGCCGGGAACUCAAAGGAGACUGCCAGUGAUAAACUGGAGGAAGGUGGGGGUGACGUCAAGUCAUCAUGGCCCUUACGACCAGGGCUACACACGUGCUACAAUGGCGCAUACAAAGAGAAGCGACCUCGCGAGAGCAAGCGGACCUCAUAAAGUGCGUCGUAGUCCGGAUUGGAGUCUGCAACUCGACUCCAUGAAGUCGGAAUCGCUAGUAAUCGUGGAUCAGAAUGCCACGGUGAAUACGUUCCCGGGCCUUGUACACACCGCCCGUCACACCAUGGGAGUGGGUUGCAAAAGAAGUAGGUAGCUUAACCUUCGGGAGGGCGCUUACCACUUUGUGAUUCAUGACUGGGGUGAAGUCGUAACAAGGUAACCGUAGGGGAACCUGCGGUUG